UGGCACAAUUCAUUGUCCUGCUCUCCCUCUUCCCGAGAGUUGUGAUAUUUCUGUUGUGCAACAACAACAUUGGAGGUAAAUUAGCAGAAUGGCUCGUUGGUGCUGCCUCUGCCAGUCCCCUUCACACAGAA